UUAUAGUGGNNCAGCAANNNCNUAUNGGNGNGCAGCAGGCGCGAAAACUUUACAAUGCGGGAAACCGCGAUAAGGGGAUACUGAGUGCCAGCAUAUUAUGUUGGCUGUCCAUAUGUAUAAAUAGCAUGUGUUAGCAAGGGCCGGGCAAGACCGGUGCCAGCCGCCGCGGUAACACCGGCGGCCCGAGUGGUGGCCACUAUUAUUAGGUCUAAAGGGUCNGUAGCCGGUUUGAUCAGUCUUCCGGGAAAUCUNACAGCUCAACUGUUAGGCUUNUGGGGGAUACUNUCAGACUUGGGACCGGGAGAGGUAAGAGGUACUACAKGGGUAGGAGUGAAAUCUNGUAAUCCUUGUGGGACCACCAGUGGCGAAGGCGUCUUACCAGAANCGGGUCCGACGGUGAGGGACGAAAGCUGGGCGCACGAACCGGAUUAGAUACCCGGGUAGUCCCCAGCNGUAAACGAUGCUCGCUAGGUGUG
rnacentral:rRNA from 1 species